CGUGUUUCCGGAAGACGUGGCGAUCGCUAAAAUUAUAACGGUGCGGCGUUUCGCCUUGAUUUCUGCUCACACGGAAGCAAGUUCAUAGACUGCAGAAAUGAUCUCCUUAACGGACUCGCAGAAAAUCGGGAUGGGAUUAACAGGCUUCGGCGUGUUUUUCCUUUUCUUUGGGAUGAUCCUGUUCUUCGAUAAAGCUCUGCUGGCCAUAGGAAAUAUCUUGUUUGUUGCAGGUCUGUCAUUUGUUAUUGGCUUGGAGCGCACUUUCAGAUUCUUCUUUCAGCGGCACAAAGUAAAAGCUACGAGUUUCUUUUUGGGAGGAGUGUUUGUGGUGUUGAUCGGAUGGCCGAUCAUUGGCGUGGUGUUGGAGAUUUAUGGCUUCUUCCUCCUGUUCAGGGGCUUCUUCCCAGUGGCAGUGGGCUUCAUCAGAAGAAUACCCAUUCUUGGAUCACUGCUUAAUCUCCCUGGUAUCAGUGGGGUGUCCAGUUGCUUUGUACAAGGUUGUUUUGUAGUUUGCUAAAAUUCACCCAUGCAGAGCUCUCCUUCUGUGAACUCUUCAGAAGACCAGGCUUCACGUACUGACAGUUGGUGGACAAAGUCGGUGAAAGCAACGCCAUGGUAUAACAAAAAAGUAAACUUAAAAUUUUUCUCUGUGUUGUCACCACUUAUUUAAACUCCUCAAUCUUAUUUGUAAUUUGAUGCCCUUUUGGCAACCAGUGAAUGUCUGGAAUGAGAAUUUCUCAUGUUUGAGAAAAGGCAGUGCUUUUACAUGGCGCAUGUAGUCACCUUACAAAAGCAAUGUGACCAAUAGAGAGCUGUUAUUUCUGGGAACUGAUCCACAGCCCAAAUUGGGCUCGGCUACUUUCUCUGCUGCAUACCUCCAUCAGAGAGGUAACACAGACUUGAACCAACAGAGGGCAUGUUUUAACGGUGCACCUAUUUUUGAACGACUUUUGAACGACCUGCUGUGGGAGGAACAGAAGUUUGCUAUUUCAUUUCUUAGCUUUCUUUAUGCCGCUGUUACAGAAUUGAACGAUCUCCAUGUAUGAAGGUGUUACUGGAAAUCUGCUUGUUCGGGUGCCAACUACUUUUUAGAGUGUGCUGUAUUGAAGCUGUAGCGAGAACGGCACACUGGAUGAGCCUCAUCAUGUUACUGGCUCAGUGAGGAAUUAGUAGCCUUUGUGAAACACAUGAUACUACAUGUAAAUACGUAUUUUAAGUAAUGUAUAAGACUGAUGUACAUUUUUUUACACAGAGACAGC